GACGAACGCUGGCGGCGUGCUUAACACAUGCAAGUCGAACGGAAAGGCCCUUCGGGGUACUCGAGUGGCGAACGGGUGAGUAACACGUGGGUGAUCUGCCCUGCACUUUGGGAUAAGCCUGGGAAACUGGGUCUAAUACCGAAUAGGACCACGCGCUUCAUGGUGUGUGGUGGAAAGCUUUUGCGGUGUGGGAUGGGCCCGCGGCCUAUCAGCUUGUUGGUGGGGUAAUGGCCUACCAAGGCGACGACGGGUAGCCGGCCUGAGAGGGUGACCGGCCACACCGGGGCUGGGGUUCGGGCCAGAAUCCUACGGGGGGCAGCAGGUGGGAAAUAUGCACAAAGGGCGCAAGGCUUGUGCAACGACCCCGCGUGGGGGAUGACGGCCUUCGGGUUGUAAACCUCUUUCAAUAGGGACGAAGCGCAAGUGACGGUACCUAUAGAAGAAGCACCGGCCAACUACGUG
rnacentral:rRNA from 1 species